UACGGAGGGAGCUAGCGUUAUUCGGAAUUACUGGGCGUAAAGCGCACGUAGGCGGCUUUGUAAGUUAGAGGUGAAAGCCUGGAGCUCAACUCCAGAAUUGCCUUUAAGACUGCAUCGCUUGAAUCCAGGAGAGGUGAGUGGAAUUCCGAGUGUAGAGGUGAAAUUCGAUAGAUAUUCGGUAAGAAACACCAGUGGCGAAGGACGACUUACUGGACACAUAUUGACGCUGAGGUGCGAAAGCGUGGGGAGCAAACAGG
rnacentral:rRNA from 1 species